CCUUCUGCGCCCGCGCGCCCGCCGGCCGCCCCCCGGGCCCCUGAUCUCCCCGACCCUCGACCCCCGGGGCCGGGGCUCGGCCGCGCGCCUUCAGCGCUGCGCCCCAACAGGUCUUCGUUGCUGCGCGCAGGUUUUCUCUCGUUGCGGUAACCGGGGGCAGCUCUUCGUUGAGGUGCGUGGCCUUCUCAUUGUGGUGGCUUCUCUUGUUGUGGAGCACAGGCUCUAGGUGGGAAAGCACGGGAAAUGUGUGUCCUGCCUGUACUGUCAUGACUCCCUGACCUGAGAAAGGAGGCUGCUGGUACUGACAACGACACCAGCGACGAUGGGGCUCCAACACCCACCACUUUAAGAAGAAACAGGCCUUCUAAUUCUCCUCUGUGGAGCCACUUUUUAUGAGUUUGAAUUUCCAAAAACAAAUUCAUCAACA